GCCAAGAGACGGACUGUUCUGACGCGCGCCCAGAUGGACCCGUCGCCCGGGUGACCGGGAAGGUGGGGUGACGUUUGCGCAAGAGGAAGGAGAGGUGAAACAACCAUUCCCCUCAGUUUGAUCCACCACGUGAUCGUUUGUUAUCAUUGAGAGGGUCGCCCCUGCGGCCGCGCAGCACCUAGGAUUAACCCUCCGCGCGCCGGCGCUCGGUCUGUGUUUGCUCCGCCGUGCUUCUAAGGCCAGGUUGCUUGAAAGUUUCUGUGAAUGAUCACUCCACCGUAAUUAUGGUUUUUGCAGAAGGAGUAGGAUAGUGGUGCAUGGUUAUGUUGCAGCAGAGGAUGAGCAAAGGAUUGCUAUCAUCACAGAGCUGGGAGGCAUAAGGUGGAACCCUCAGAAGUUCUGCAACUUUGAAGAUAAUUUGUGACCUAUUUGGGUGAGGUAUGGGGAAUGAUGGUAAAAUUUAAAUAUUAAAUAAUGUCUGACUGUUCUAUAAUCAGAAGAUACCCAAAGCUAAAUAAAUAAUUGAUUGGUUCAAAGCAGUGUGUAAAAGACCAACUCCAGCUGUGACCCUUUUUGCCUCAGUGAGGUUGGGUUAGGGUUAGGGUGAUAGCAGAAACCGCCAUUUGGCAAAUUCCCAUUAAGGUCUUUUAAAGUUUACAACUUUGUAUUAUCUUGGCCUACUUCCUAGUUUGCUGACUUCUUCCAAGUGAAAAGCAUUCAUAAGUCCUGUGUAUAAUUUAUCCUGCUGUUACUAUUUCCUCAACUUUCUGUUUCUGAAGUCCUGUUGACCAGUCUCAAGGCAAGCAGAGCAAGAGCCACCCACUGGCUCCUUACAUUCUACGGGAAUCUGAAACAGAUUUCAUUGUUAAAAAAAUCAAAAUCAAGGAAGAGAAGAGAAAAAGUGACAAAUGUGCACUUUGCAAAAACCUCUCACUGUUGCUUUUGAAAGAAAAGGUCUUAAGAACCCAAUGCUUCUCUAGCAACUCUAACCUUGCUAUACAACUUUUUGUGCCUCUUGGAAAAUCAACAAAAUUUCCUAAACUGGCCUUUAAGUAGCUAUAGUUACUCUCUUUCUUUGGACUAUAUAACACUGAAUUUACUGGGUUAUAUUUCUAAACAAAUGUUUAUUUUUUAUCUUUUAAAAUUAUGUUAUCAGUUCACAUUAUUUUAAAGCAGUUGAGAAACGAAGUACGGUAAGUUUGUCCGUGUUUUACUCAAAACAUUUUUUAACAAAGUUCCAUAAGCAUGUUUGUACUUUUAAAUAACAAAGCACCAUUUAUUUAAAAUAAACCCAAAUUUCCAUUUAGGAGUUGUGUGGUUUCUGUUUUGUUUCCUUGCACAUGGCAGUUUUUGUAGAAUCCUAUUUGGAACUCCUUGUCAGCAAGGUUUUCUUUGGAACUGUAUAAUUAUAAUUGCAUAAUUCAUAUGACGUAUUAUUCCUUACAAUGUAUGCUGGUGUUGUUCAUAGUUUAUUGUGCAAUUUAUGGGCUCCAAAGAAUACCAUUUUAAUGUAUAGGAUAGGGUUAGGAUUAGGAUUAGUGUUUUAAAUGUGACAUUUAGUGCUAAAAAUGUUAUUACAACAUCUAUGACAGCUUUAUCAACAUUUGUACAAAGGUUCUCUUUCUUGUCUUGAAUUUCUUUUUUCUUAUGCUCCGAAAUAAUAUUUCUAUGCUCUAUGCUCUGUUAAAUGGAGCACCAUAUUCUGCUUGAAGCAUAUUCUGUUUCAAAGAUGGGCAUUUAAAAAGUUAGUAUGACCAUGGUAAACAAUAUAUUUUAUUAACAGCUGUGUAAAUAAAUUCAAUUCACUACUCUUAUUAUGCCAAAAAAAUUACCUGACUAAAUUUUCAUAAAAUUUCAGUAGGAAUCUAGGGGUCACAAAUAACUAAAGAGCUCAACAACCCAAUUUUGUUUAAAUAUGAAGAA